GACGCAGCCGUCGCUUCUCCUCCGAGUUGUGGCCGCACUGCAAGCGACGCUGCAGCCCCACUCGAACCGCUGAUGUCCUCCGCCUCGCCUUCCUAUCCGGAGUUGAAUAAAGGAUGAGGACAUGUGUUGAGCCGACGCUGGUGAUGCCAGGUGCGGACGAGUCGGGCAAGAUCUCGCAACGCUGGCCUAGGGCCCCUCUCUCAACGAAGGUUCAUGUCCCAAACCCGAAUGCAAAUCUAGGGAAGAAACAAAUAGAAGCAUGCUCAAGGACACUAACAGUUUCAGUCCAAUGAUGUUAAGGUAAAUAACCUCAAAAGCUUAACUACCUCCAGAUGUGUUCCAGCUACAUGAUACUAAUUCAUGAGAUUUAAGAUCCUUCAUUAAUAUGCUGACACAGCCCACACCCCCACACGCUAUGGCGUGUGUGUCAUAAUGUAAAUUUGAAUCUUCUUUUGAGGAUAAAAUUCAUGUCAAUCUGAUUUUACUCUAAGGCUAUUUUGGUUCAGGUGUGUUUCAAGGAGUAAUAUGAACUUUUUAUUGUUUGGUAUCUAAUGUAUUUGGCGUUAGUUGCGCCUCUCUGCUGCUGCUGCUCCCUGACUUGUUGUCCUCCUUGACCGCAGAGACAAAUAGCACUUCUCUCUCACCAUUCCCCUCACCUCGGGUUAUUUUCAGUCCUGAUUUACCUGGUUGUUACCUAGAUAUGAUUAUUGCUUGCCAAAAUCAUUGAUUGUUUGUGUUCUAGAUCAUACACAAAUGUGGCUCUACCAACUGGAUAAUACUGAACUUGAUGGAUUUUCCAUUCCUCUAUCGUUUCAGGUGAUUUUGUUAAUCUCGGAAACUGAAAGUAUGGUCCUUAUUCUUAUUAGUUUUCCUUUUCAUGGUCAGCUGCCACACACUUUGGACUCCAUCGUCUCAGCAAAGGUAGCUCCGAUGGCCCAUGCUUGCCUCAUGUGUUGCAUCUCAUAUUAUGUAUCUUUGCUCCACUCUUGCCUCAUGUGUUGUAUUUGAUGAUGAUUUUGAUUUCUGCAUAUUUGAAUAUUUUACGUACAUUUCCAGUGUUAAGAUUUAACAUUGAACAAUAUGAGUAGUUGCCUCUAUGGUCCUCUGCUGAAUGAACAAUAUGAGUAGCUGCCUCUUACGGUGCUCUUACAACCCUGUAGUGAACUGGUUGGUACCUCUUAUAUUAUUUAUACAUAUAUUCUAAAAAAGUUAGCAAAAAGUGCUUGUGGAAAUGAAUUUUAUUUUGGGUUUACCUAUGGAUCUUCCUCUAGCUCUAGGAUAGAGGAUUCAGUUUCUUACUCCACCUGAAGACUCAUUUUGUAAUUUCCGUACACACUUUGGCUACCUUUGUCUUUGUCUUUAUCAACACAAGUUUUAGUAAUGUUUCAGUUUGGGCAUGGCCGUAGAAAUAUGUGUAGUGCCACCGUGUUGAAGCUCUGUUUUGGUGAUUUCUUGAUUUAAUCAUAGCUGCAAAAAAUUGCUAAAGCUUUAGUUAAUUGAACUCAGAGGGACGAGUUCAAUACCGACAGCCUAUUUGAUAAAAUGUAGGUACUGAAUGUUCUCUUUUCGCUAUGUUUGUCCAUAUAUUUCUGAUGUUUUCCCUUGAUGUAUUCUCGGUUCUCUGAUUGGCUGCGGCUGCUUUCGCCAUGAUCCCUCCUCCCACACGCACAAAAGCGACAUGCCUAUUUGGUAUUUUGUUUAGUAAGCAAAGGUAUCAUUUGGACACAGGUAAAGGAGGUACAUUGAUGUGCAUUCGUUCUGUUAGCUAUAGUCAAUCGCAUACACAAAUAUUUUAUAUUAGCACUCGAUUAAUGUUCUUCCUUGCCAUUCAUUUGCUAUAAUAAUCUCAAUUGUUUUUCAUUAAAUAGGAAGUGUACACAUGCAUAUAAGUUUUAAAGAGGUAUACCAUACUUAGGAUCAAGCUAUUGAUUAAAAUAUUAUGUCUUCAUUUAUCAAUUGCCAAGUAGAUAUUGGAUUUAUUAAUGGGCACUGCAGAUGGUGCUAAGGCUCUGAUCGAUGCCACUGGCCGAUUGAUACUGUAUAUAAUUAUAAACACCUAUGUUCCAAUGCAUAUGGUUGUUCAGUUUUUCAUUACUCCACUGCGGUACACUUUUUAGUUUUGACGUGUGAGAUUCGAUCUGGUUUGUGAUUUUUAGUCGCAUGUGUUAAUGACUUACCUGUCCAGGUCCCGCUCCCUGGCAUCUCCGGCUACCGCUGCAGCUAUGGCGGUCUCAUCACCAUCAGGUACUUAUGUAAAGAAUGUUGUAUUGAGCCGGCUUUCCCAAUUUUCUUCAUGUAUAUACAUAUGAAUAUUUGGUCAAGAGGACCUUGUAGACCCAUCUCUCUCUUCAUCAGCUUGCAACAUCAAUUAUCUGAAUUUGAGCUAUACAUUUUUACUUCAUGAUGUUUCAUGUUUCAGGUUCAGGAUUCUAAGAAAAUGAGCCGAGUAUGUGUUUCAGAUUUUUGAGAGAAAUAUCAAACUGAACUAGGUCUACUGGAACUAAAGAGGGAGCAGGACACUUGGGGCCUUUUAUUGGAGAAAAUUUUGCGGUAUGUACAUUGGCGAGUUGGGCUUCAGUGUUGUAUACCUCGAGGUAUUCCUAAAAAAUCUGAACAUUUCAUUUACUUUCUAUCAUUUACCGAUGUGUAAAUGAUGGUGCCUACUCAUGGGAAUUAAUUAAAACAGGUUGAACCAUGAAGUAUAAGGUACCAGGUAGCUAUAAAUCUGUAGAACACAAUUUAAUCUUCCCCCGAGGGACACUAGAAGCUAUGCUUUAAAACUAUGAACAUAGAGUUUUAUAAAAGCAUACCAGCAACUUGUUUUCAUCGUUGCAGCUAAACCGCUGAACCAAAUUGAGUGAAUGACCACUCAAAAUGAUCGCUGGAAUGAGACCUACAAAACACUUUUAAGUAUGUGUUCUAAUUUUGCCGUCUAUGUACUCGAAAUUGAUGAUCUCUAAACCUGUAUGUCCAGAAACGGGAAUAUGGAACAUGUUUCCUGUAACCCCUAAACGAUCUUGCUACUCUCCUGCCCUAGGAACCUAGGAAUCACCAUGUACAACACAAAAGAGGAACAUGGAGGGUGGGAAAACUCACCCUUGAUGUUUGAGCAAGGGGAAUCGGACAGGGGAGGUGAGUAUCUUCUCUUCUUCCUUCUUGUCUUGUCUUCCUCUUCCUCAAGAUCAGUUCCAUGGUCGGGCUGUACCUGAAGGAGUAGGUCGUGGUGAAAGUGGGAAGUUUAGGGGAGAGGAAGGGAGAGGAGGAAGGGGAGGAAGGAGGUGCCAUGAGGGAAAGGGGAAGGGAGCUCGGGUGUGAGCAGCAAAGAAGAGGGAGCAGGCUUUGGGGAUAUGGAUGAGGAGGUACUCACGUGGUGGAGGAGAUGGGGACAAAGGGUUAGCUUCAUUUUUGUAAAAUACAAAUUAGAGAUAUUUUUGAAAUAUUCAAAUAAUCAUGCCCAUUGAAUUGAAAUAAGCCAUUGAAGAUGCAUCCGGAGGCCGAUUUGGGGGCACGAGUAGUCUGUUUCGACCAUCUUGAGAAGCCCGAUAGAAUCGGAUUUAUGAUUCGAUAAACCAAUUAAAAAAUGGUUAUAGAGUCAAAAGGUAUGUUUUGUCGGAAAACGAUUAUCGUGAAACGGGGGUGUUACAAAUAUAGUGCAUCAUUGUUGCACGAUAAGCAUGCAACUCAAGCAGAUGGGUUUCUUCCUUCAGUAGUGGUGAUUCUCUUCCAGAGAUAGAAGCUUCAUCAUCAUUCCUACUACAUAUAUCCUCACUGACAUACUCUUGAGGAUGUGCUGACCUAUAGGGGAUACCGUAGGGACUGCAACUACCAACAGAGGAUGUGGCACUAUUAGUAUCGUAAUCUUGAGUUGUUACAGCAGGAUACUAAUAAUCAACAUUAGUGUUAACCACCGCCAAGUUCUUUUGUGGAAAGCCAUUCGCUUUGUUUGUUAUUUAACGAAUCAUGCAUGCAUUUUUCACCCAGCAUUAAGCACGGGGAAUCAACAGAAUCUACCUUAUCCAUCAAACGAAGAGAAUCUCUAGGACGAGGAUAUUGGUGUCUUCCAUCACAGCGCUGCAUAGGGAAAGCUGAUGCAGCAGAUGAUUUUCUCUUCAUGCCUCGAUACAUAUUGCCCUCCAAUACAGCCCCGUCCUUUAUUACAAGAUGACUGCCCCCCUGAGUUUCCACCUUUUGUCCAACUCCUAAGUGAACCACUAGCACAUCAUGAUAAUUAAUUGCUUGCUUGUUACAUUUCAUCCCAAACCAUGUGUUUGUUCUAUUGGGUGUUCACUCACACCAACAAUGCUUAGUGUGUGCUUUGCAGCUUUCACUAGAAGAGAUGAAUGGCGGCAAGGAAUAGCAUCAGUAGGCCGGGUUGGUUUGGGAUUAAUAGUGUCGGCUGACAUGUUAUUUGCUCUAGGUAGAUGAUCAGGAUCAACGUUCAGUGACUUGAUCCAGAAUAAGGCGGAGGGUGGAAUUGGUGACAUGGAUGGAGGAGGAUGAUCUUGGCAUGGAGGAGAAGGCGGGAAGUUGCAGAUGAGGAAGUUGUAUGGGGACACAAGGAUGGUAUUGACAGAGCCGCACGCCGCUGCCAAACCAUAGGGUGACGCCUAUGACUGAGUGUCUUUCCAUGGCGAGCUGCUGGCUGAGCGCGAUGUGUUGUUGUUGGUGAGAGUCUGGAGCAAGAGGAGGAGCUAGAGAAGAUAAAUGUCCCCUAUUUCCGUUACAGGUAUUUUGAUUCAUUACCAUACAAAGGAGAGUCUUCUGGUAAUGAUUAUUUUGUAAAUUGUGGGGUAAAAAAAUAUUUGAUAGACUUCUAGGUUAAUUAGUUCUUUUUUAGACUAUGUUUCUAUGAUUUCUCUUUGUAUGGCUAUUGUUGCACAUAUAAUUGUUGCACUGCUCAUUGUAAUAUGGAAUUAGCAAUAAUUGCUUCUCUUCUGAUAUUUUUUGUCGUAUACUGGAGUUCAUGUUUUUAUUUAUUAAAUUGCUUGAUCCUUGUUUACAUAGGAUAUCAAACAGUGAUAUAAAAGAGAGGACAACAUUAACCAAGUUGUAGUACAUCAAGUCUAGAUUACCCCACAGAGUGUUUCUGAUAAUUCAAGCAAUUU